UGGAAGGCCGACCGCGACGCCGAUGCCAUCACUGUCGCCACCUGAGGAUCUCCGCCACCGCAGCUACCUGGAAUUGAACGGUGAGCUGUACGUGGUCGGAGCCAUGGUGAACGUGCUCCGCUGACACAGAGCUUCGCUGGAACAAGCGCCUCCAUGUUGAAGAGGAACAGAAUCUACUUCUUCGAGCCUCUGUAUGGUGAUCAAAAUCACUUUGCCCAUUGUUUGGAGAUCGCUGACAUUGCCACCGGCACAUCGGAGGUGAAGCUUUUCCAAGAGAAGGCGCAAGCUUUCGAGGCUCUAGGUUGGAUUCGGCCAAAUUUCUCGAGGGGACGAGGAAAAUCCACAAGAAGAAGCAGCUCCUAGUCAGUCCCGAUCCACAAGAAGCAGCAGCUCCUUAGUCAGUCCCGCCUGAAGCUAAACCCGAAGCUCCAAGAGAAGCUAGCCAAAAGGCUGAGAGGAUUCAUAUACAUUUUGUCAGAGCUGCUGCUGCUGCCUCAUAAUGCUCGGUUUAAGGAUGGAACAGAUACUAUAGCUAUAAUUAGCUGCAAAUGUGUCCGGUAUUUUUCGAACUAUUAUUGUUCUUGAUGUAAACCUACCGACAGUAUCAUCUAGGUCUCUGAAC